rnacentral:lncRNA from 1 species
CGCUGUGUUUAGCCAGUUCUGUCUCUUUUUUCUUCAGCCUCCUCCACAAUGGUGGUAUUUCAAAUAGUUUUUUGACUUCUAAACUGCACACUUGAGUGAAGCCAGUUCCUGUGCUGCGAGGCUUGCUCUUUUCUUCUGAGAGAUAGGCUGCUUGCUGGCUCCUUCCUUGUGCAUUUCCCCGCCCCAGGGCAAGCUAUAUUUAAAGUAAUAAUAAUAUCAGAGCCCUUCUUGAAGUGACACAAAGGAAAGCGCACACACACGCUCCUGAGAAAGCAGCCUGCACGGAGGAAUUACUGAUUGCAACAGGAAUGGAAUUUCUCCCUUGCUGCCUUGUUCGGAUCGUCAGACCUCCCACUCUCUGGAUGUCAGAAACUGCAAGGUGAUGGUCCUGAGCAAGCUGGUCCAGAGCACUGUGUCCUGGUGACUGUAAACCUGAGGAACAGAGAAACAGAGACUUUUCUACAUUGGAGUCAAGAGGAACUUGCUGGAUAAAUAUUUGUGUUAGUGAGAUCCAUUGGAAAUAGCCCUCAACACAGAUUUACCUGCAGUUUACUACAGAAUUACUUGACGGACAUGGCAUAGAAUUAAAAUAUCAUUUCAGAACUGCGUAACUGAAAUAUAAACACAAAAUUGUGGAUUAAACUCUGUCAAUCACUAGUCUCUUUGAUUCUGAGGAAUGCAGGAU